AUUGAACGCUGGCGGCAGGCUUAACACACGCAAGUCGCGCGAGCGGCGGACGGGUGAGUCAUGUCUGGGAAACUGCCUGAUGGAGGUUGAUAACUUCUGUUAACGGUAGCUCAUACCGCAUACCAUCAGUUGUUCCCAGAUUGGUUUAGCUAGUAGGUGGGGUAAUGGCGCACCUAGGCGCCGAUCCCUAGCUGGUCUGAGAGGAUGACCAGCCACACUGGAACGGAGCAACGGUGCAGACGCGUACGGGAGGCAGCAGUGGGGAAUAUUGCACAAUGGGCGCAAGCCUGAUGCAGCCAUGAAGCGUGUGGGAAGAAGGCCUGCGGGCUGUAAAGCACUUUCAGCGAGGAGGCGUUACUCGCAGAAGAAGCACCGGCUAACUCCGUGCCAGCCGCCGCGGUAAUAC
rnacentral:rRNA from 1 species